rnacentral:lncRNA from 1 species
CUGCCACACGCAAACCCAGCUCGCCAUGGCGCCUCGCUUCUUCGUGCCUCUGCCCCUCGUCGUCGUCCUCCUGCUCGCCGCCUCCACCGCCCACUCCCAAUCCCCAGCCGCCGCGCCAUCCACCUCCUCCCCCAACUCCGGCGCCGCCAUUUCCCCUUCUCCAGCCACCUCCGCCGCUUCCCCUCCAACAACCUCUUCCCCAACCGCCCCUUCUCCUUCUUCUUCCUCCUCCAAGAAGAACCCGAUCUCCACUCCCCCCGCGGCGCCCCCCUCGAAGCC